UUCCUCGCUUGUUCUUCUGGUGCUGAGUUUUGUUUAAAUUUAGCAGGGAAGUUGGUGCAAAUCCAACGCUGCCCCCGCAGCGGUAAUUGAAUGUUUUAUUAUUCAUAAGUCCGGAGACCGACCUUAAGAAUUUAAGAAUA
rnacentral:ncRNA from 1 species